UACGUAGGGUGCAAGCGUUGUCCGGAAUUAUUGGGCGUAAAGAGCUCGUAGGCGGUCUGUCGCGUCGGUCGUGAAAACUUGGGGCUUAACCCUGAGCUUGCGGUCGAUACGGGCAUGACUGGAGUUCGGCAGGGGAGACUGGAAUUCCUGGUGUAGCCGGUGAAAUGCGCAGAUAUCAGGAAGAACACCCGUGGCGAAGGCGGCUCUCUGGGACGGUACUGACGCUGAGACGCGAAAGCGUGGGGAGCGAACAGG
rnacentral:rRNA from 1 species